rnacentral:rRNA from 1 species
UGCGUAGGCGGCUUACUAAGUCAGAUGUGAAAGCCCCGGGCUUAACCUGGGAACUGCAUUUGAUACUGGUAGGCUAGAGUAUGAUAGAGGGGGGUAGAAUUCCUGGUGUAGCGGUGAAAUGCGUAGAUAUCAGGAGGAAUACCAGUGGCGAAGGCGGCCCCCUGGAUCAAUACUGACGCUGAGGUACGAAAGCGUGGGUAGCGAACA